GCUAGUUAAGCUUGUGAGAAAGAGGAGCCAAGCAGCAAGAUAAAAGCAUUUACCAGGAUUUGAAUCUGAAGAGCUGAACUGGGAGAGAUGUCCCUGUGUCAUGUGCCGGGGCAGUUGUUGGUGCCAAAAUAUGCUCCCGAGUAGUGAUGCGUGAGUUGCUGGGAUGGACCAAUUUUAAGACUCUUCGGAUAUGUGGUUGCCUGAAAAUUCAGGGAACUCCACGCAGUGAGCCAGGAGGCUCCUUCCAGUCCUGUGUCCCUGCAUAAUCUGGGUAAGCGUGAACACAAGGCAUCUGAGCAAGGCCAAGGAGGAGGAGGACUCUCUGGAAGACCCCCUAGGAGGCUGCUGACACACAAUCGCUGAAUGGCAGGGGUCUAAGCAACUUCCCCACACAACAGGCCGCUGCAAAAGAAGAGGCUCGAGGUGCAGAAGUGAUUGUGUGGUCACAACACCGCUGGGUUCAGAAACGUGAGUCACCGACAGCUGGCCACAGAGAGCCCCAGAGCACUAGAGGAAAAUUAUGAACAGGAACACAAAACAACUUGAAGGAACAAGUAAAGGUCAUCAUAACCUGAAGAGUCGUGCCAGCCUUUUGAGGGAAACCAGCAACAAAAUUCCCGUUGCCGGUGUUUUAAUGAAAUAGAGCCUGCUGAACUGUUCUGUCGAGUCCUGGCAGGAGCCAUCAAGCGAAAGCAAUAUUUCCUUUGCUUUUUUUUUUGGUAAAACAGAAACACAAAUGAAAUUUACUCAUUUAUCACAAUCCGGGAAGUUCAGACCAAAAUGUAUCAGCGCAGCAUGGAGUAAUGGAAACCAACGGUUGCAGGAGUUGAAUACCUGAAGAAAUGCCUUAAGUGGAGCGUUGCUGUGAAACAAUGAAAAGUGGUGAGACAGAACUUAAAGACGUGCAUGGGAGUGCUUUUCCCCUUCCAGUUGUCUGAGGAAAGGUUUAGAGCAGAGAUCAGCCAACCAACCCUCUUAUUCAAAAGACAUAAAGGGAAGGGGGAGGAAUCGUGGCUGUAUGCAACUCAAUGGCAAAUCCUUCAUGGAGUUCAUCAGGGUCAGGAUUUCCCCCAAAGUCUCUGCUGGGCAAGUAUCACUGCAUCGGUAAAGGAUGUGCCCCAGAGGAUGCCCACUGCACCUCAGGUUUUGGUUCAAAUGGGCUCUGCAGGCAAGGGUCUCAUUUUGGUUCUGCCAGGUUGGAGAUGCCCAACGCCAAGGGCAGAUGAGCACGUGGAGGUCAAACAUCAGUGUUAAACGAACUGCUCAUGUUCGGAGAAAGGGAGCACUUGGAGAAAGGGGUUGGGACCGUCUUUUUUUCUGUCCUGGGGAAGUGAGGGUAGGGUUGCAAAACAUGACCUUGCCAGCGCUAGGUUUUGUAAAGAACCUGGAGCAGAGAGAUUUCAGAGCCUGACUGCAUUGCCUCCAAGCCAUCCAAGGGACACGCACAGUUUGCACGGUGCUUUAGCACAUUGGAACAGCAAUACUGCUCUGGCGACAUGGAUGUACCAAAGGGCAAAGCCUGCCAAGCCCAAGGGGCCAGUGUGCUGAGUGUCGCAUUCCUGCUGUACUACAGAAUGGCACUGCUAUUCAGACCACUGGCACUGCUGCUAUGACUUUGCUUCACCUGAGGAUUUUUCCUUCUCUAGUGACAGCAAAGCCUUGGCUGCCAGCUCCUGGGCUGAUUUUUGGAAACUUCACAUUUUGCGGGCUGUGUCCCUGAACCUUGCUGGAACGGAGGGCCGUUGUGCUGUAGGAAAGCGGAGUCGAUUCAAAGCAAUGUCAAGGGUUAAAUGCAAAUCAGCUUGAUGGCGCUGCAGAAGGAGCUGCACAGAAGGUAUCUUCCCGGGUGGGGGAGGGAACAGAGAGGCCUCCUGCUAUCUCUGCCCGUUCUGGGGGCUGAGCUCCCAGCAUGAGUUAUGGCCUCCAGCUGCUCUAGCGAGCUGCAUCUUGUCCAGGGCAGGUCUCCGAGGCAGCCCAGCAUCCCUGUGGCACUCAGUCCUCCGGAUGCAACCUGGCAGGGCCCCUAGGCCCAGAUGGCUGAGGGAGCACUGCAUUUAUACUGUGGGAAUUCUCCAUUGGUCCCUCCCAGAGCCAGUGCCAAGGCUGAAGCAGGGGAGAGGCUGUCCAGUGGGUACCAAACCAGAAAAAGCCAUGCAUUGCUUUUUGGAGAUCAGAAACACAGGCCAAGUUGGCCUCUCCAUCUUUCACUCAUGUUGUGUGCACUGAAUUCCAAGAUAUCGUUUAUUUUUUAGCACCUCGGAGGAGCAAGUGUGAGUUGGGGGCGUCUCUCCGGGCCUGUGAAAUAAACCCCACUGAACAUUUUCGGAUGUAUUUCUCCCCCCAUGCAUUCUCCCUCCACUCUGCCCCUGGCUCUUCCUUCCCGGGCACAGAGCCUGGCAUAAGGAGCCCAGGAACAGGAGUCUGCAUUGGUGCAUCUGACUGCAGGACCCAGGGCAGGGUUGUCACCCCACCAGGAUUACCCUGGAGUUUCCAGGAAUUAGAUAUAAAUCUCCAGGAGACUGCAGAGAAAUGAUAGAGCAUUCAU